GAGGAAUUAAAAAGCAUAUUAAUUUUAAUAUGAUACAGAAAAUGUAUUACAAUAGUAAUGUUGCAAAAAAAUAAUUUCUUCAUAUUGUUUUUUCCAUAAUAAAUAUGGAAGAAUAUAAAAAUAUAAUUUUAAUAUGAUUAUAAAAGUGUACUAUGAAGGUAUGGAUGAAGAUAUGAGAAAUAAAAGGAGGUUAAUAUUAAUUUUUAAUGAUACAUUGCAACAAUGAUCUUGCAUAGUUUUUGAAAUUAAAAUAUUGCAAUGAAUUUGAAAAAAAUAUAAAAAUAUAAUAUAUUUAAAUAAAUGUGUGGAUGAAAAUUGAAUAAAAAUGUUCAAUUAUAAAUUUUCAUUUGAAGAAAUAUUUUAGAGAUUUUAUCAAAAUAAUAGGAUAUUGUUAGAUCAACGAUUAAUUGGUUUUUUUUUCUAUUCAUUAGAUCUAUUCUUUAACUUAUUUUGGGGUUGCACGAAGGUAUUUGGAACAAAUCUAAAAAUAAAGAAUAUACAUAAUACCACGAUUUAGUCACUACAAUUACACGACCUAGAUUCCAUUAUACUGCUAUGGGAUAAAUUGGAUAAGAGAAGCGAGGAAACGCAAUUUAGCCUCUAAACACGCCUCCAGGAAUUAUUACAAAAUAACUGGAUGAAUAUUCUACACAGAAAUAGUUUAUAAUAUCAAAUAUAUAUUUUGCAAUUGAACAACCCCCUUUGAUAUACCAAAAUAUUUCCACGUUCAACAGAAUGUAGGUCACAAGAAAUAUAAUGACAGCUCUCAAAAUUG